GUGUGUCUGGGGUAUCGGGGGUGUUUGGGCUGUUUAGUUAACUUAGAUUAGUGAAAUGGAACCUGUGUGAGGCAUAAAAUUGAGUAAGAACACAUUAAAAAUGACCAUUCUGACUUUAGUUCUCUAAGCCUUAGGAAUGUGGAAAUUCUAGCUAAGAACACACCUAGAUCAACUCAUUUUUACCCUAGGAACAAAUUAAAAUGAACAAAUUAGUUUAAAUAGACAUGUAUCACAAGUUAUGGAUGCUAGAAGUUGGGCAAAGUAAGUAAAAAUGGCAUGAGG
rnacentral:lncRNA from 1 species